GCCGCCUUAGCUCAGUGGUAGAGCGCAUCCAUGGUAAGGAUGAGGUCAUGAGUUCAAUCCUCAUAGGCGGCUCCA
rnacentral:tRNA from 1 species